GUGCUUACUUCGACAGCGCAUAUACUAAAAUUGGAACAAUGCAGAGAAGAUUAACAUGGCCCCUGCGCAAGGAUGACACGCAAAAUUCGUGAAACGUUCCAUAUUAAA
rnacentral:snRNA from 1 species